rnacentral:lncRNA from 1 species
AUAAAAGGUCCUUCCAGUUCAUCCUAUGCCCUUGGGUAGCAAGGGUAUACAUCCACGUCCAUACGUACCACUUAGAUUACUAGUAAGCUACCAUAUGGGUAGUUCAGGAAGAUACUAGAACCAUUACUAGAACGCGAUAUCAUACAAUGAGUCAGUUCAUUCAUGAGUCAAUACUUUCUAGAACAUUACUGUACAUUACAUAUACAUCUAUACUAGGACGAGAACAUAUACAACUAUACUAGAACGUUUACAUUACUAUACUUGCUAGAUAGAGAGAACACACAUUACAGCUAGCACACAUAGAACAUUACAGUUCAUUACAUUACUAUACUUGCUAGAACAGUUCAUUACAUUACUAUACUUGCUAGUAUAGUUCAUUACAUUACUAUACUUGCUAGAACAGUUCAUUACAUUACAGCUAGAACAGUACAUUACAUUACAUAUACGAGAAUACGUUAAUUACUGUGAUUUAAAUCGGAGCAUGACUUAAAACCUCAUGACUUGAGUUGCGGCCAGAGUCUCUUGAAGGGGGAGCGUUGAGUUUGCGUAUAGAUUCUAUAAUGGAUUGACUAUCCUACGCCUUGCUGCUAGCUACAGCGGGACUUGCAGGUCUGCGGGUGCCAAACGUCAUACAUUGAUUUCGACCAUUCUUAUGUCGAUAUAACCAGUCCAUAGUAUGAGUUUGUGUAUAGAUCUAUACUGGAUUGACUAUCCUACACCUUACUGCCAGCUACAGUGGGAUCUGCAGAUAUGCGGGUGGCAAACGUCAUUCCGUUAUUAAGACCAUUCGUAUGUCGUUG